GAUAAGGUGGCUGAGAAAGGCAGUAAAUUGUAAAUUUACCUAUGAAUUAAAUUCCCUUAUUA
rnacentral:tRNA from 1 species